rnacentral:lncRNA from 1 species
CGACGACGAAGAUGAGUACAAGGAUGAGAAGAAGAAAAAGGAGGAGGAUGAGGAUGGGGAGGAGUAGUGUUUUGUGUUAGCCGAUUCGUGUCGUCGCCCUCUUUCAAACAUCGCUCUCCUCAUCUGCCGCCCUUCCUCCUACUCCCCCGACCCUUGCCAGUCGUCCGUUCGCUCCUCUCUUGCUGCUUUCUUUUCGUCGUACACCCGGGGAAAAAAAAAAAAAAUAAGAAGGCAUCGAUGAAGAGAGCAAAUAGCAUGAUUUAGGGAGAAGAGAAGAACGACGGCGGUGACGGGAAAGGAAAGGAAAAGACAAGAUAGAAAAGGAAAGUGAAAGCAAAGGGGGAAGAAAAAAGCGCGAAAAGAGAAAAGAGAGAGAGAGAAAGAAAGAAAGAUAUAGCGAGAAAGGGUGAGGGUGAGAGAGAGAGAGAGAAAGAGCAGAAGUGUGGAAAUAACAACAUCAGUAUACGAAGCCCUGUCGGGGUUAUAUGGGCAAUAUUUAGUAUCUGUUACCCCUGGGGGAAAGAUACCAAGUCAGCACCGAAGCAGAAGAAGGAAGAGGAGGAGGAGGCGGAAGAAGAGGAGAAGGAAAAAAUAUAAUUUACACUUCAAGUUCUUCUCAUUGUAAGUCGUUUAUUACAAUUAAUAUUAUUAUUGCCGUUGUUGUUGUUGUUGUUAUUGCUGUGGUUGUGAUUGCCGAUGAUGUUAUCGCUGUU